ACGCUCGACACCUACGUGAGGCAGCAGUGGGGAAUAUUGCACAAUGGGGGAAACCCUGAUGCAGCGACGCCGCGUGAGCGAAGAAGUAUUUCGGUAUGUAAAGCUCUAUCAGCAGGGAAGAAAAUGACGGUACCUGACUAAGAAGCCCCGGCUAACUACGUGCAGCAGCCGCGGUAAUCUGAGCGGGCUGGCAAGGC
rnacentral:rRNA from 1 species